UACGGGAGGGGGCUAGCGUUGUUCGGAAUUACUGGGCGUAAAGCGCGCGUAGGCGGCUUUGUAAGUUAGAGGUGAAAGCCCAGAGCUCAACUCCGGAACUGCCUUUAAGACUGCAUCGCUUGAAUCCAGGAGAGGUGAGUGGAAUUCCGAGUGUAGAGGUGAAAUUCGUAGAUAUUCGGAAGAACACCAGUGGCGAAGGCGGCUCACUGGACUGGUAUUGACGCUGAGGUGGCGAAAGCGUGGGGAGCAAACAGG
rnacentral:rRNA from 1 species